rnacentral:rRNA from 1 species
ACUUCGGUCUGGCGGCGAGUGGCGAACGGGUGAGUAAUGUAUCGGAACGUGCCCAGUAGCGGGGGAUAACUACUCGAAAGAGUAGCUAAUACCGCAUACGCCCUACGGGGGAAAGGGGGGGAUCGCAAGACCUCUCACUAUUGGAGCGGCCGAUAUCGGAUUAGCUAGUUGGUGAGGUAAAGGCUCACCAAGGCGACGAUCCGUAGCUGGUUUGAGAGGACGACCAGCCACACUGGGACUGAGACACGGCCCAGACUCCUACGGGAGGCAGCAGUGGGGAAUUUUGGACAAUGGGGGCAACCCUGAUCCAGCCAUCCCGCGUGUGCGAUGAAGGCCUUCGGGUUGUAAAGCACUUUUGGCAGGAAAGAAAUCGCAUGGAUUAAUACUCUGUGUGGAUGACGGUACCUGCAGGAUAAGCACCGGCUAACUACGUGCCAGCAGCCGCGGUAAUACGUAGGGUGCAAGCGUUAAUCGGAAUUACUGGGCGUAAAGCGUGCGCAGGCGGUUCGGAAAGAAAGAUGUGAAAUCCCAGGGCUUAACCUUGGAACUGCAUUUUUAACUCCCGAGCUAGAGUGCGUCAGAGGGGGGUGGAAUUCCGCGUGUAGCAGUGAAAUGCGUAGAUAUGCGGAGGAACACCGAUGGCGAAGGCAGCCCCCUGGGAUGACACUGACGCUCAUGCACGAAAGCGUGGGGAGCAAAC